GCCCUCCUAGCUCAGUUGGUAGAGCAGCUGACUCUUAAUCAGCGGGUCGAAGGUUCGAGUCCUUCGGGGGGCACCA
rnacentral:tRNA from 1 species